rnacentral:piRNA from 2 species
AAAGGCCAUUGGAUGUUAAGUUCUUG